GCCGCUAUGGUGGAACAGGUAGACACCGCAGACUUAAAAUCUGCUGCUGAAAAGCGUCCCGAUUCGAAUUCGGGUAGCGGCA
rnacentral:tRNA from 1 species